AGGGAUAUAGUCUCGGGGUGAGACGCUUGGUUUGGGACCAAGAAGCGGUGAGUUCGACUCUCACUAUCCCUA
rnacentral:tRNA from 1 species